GAAGGCUAUGUUGGCCGGGCGACGGUUGUCCCGGUUUAAGCGUGUAGGCUGGUUUUCCAGGCAAAUCCGGAAAAUCAAGGCUGAGGCGUGAUGACGAGGCACUACGGUGCUGAAGCAACAAAUGCCCUGCUUCCAGGAAAAGCCUCUAAGCAUCAGGUAACAUCAAAUCGUACCCCAAACCGACACAGGUGGUCAGGUAGAGAAUACCAAGGCGCUUGAGAGAACUCGGGUGAAGGAACUAGGCAAAAUGGUGCCGUAACUUCGGGAGAAGGCACGCUGAUAUGUAGGUGAAGUCCCUUGCGGAUGGAGCUGAAAUCAGUCGAAGAUACCAGCUGGCUGCAACUGUUUAUUAAAAACACAGCACUGUGCAAACACGAAAGUGGACGUAUACGGUGUGACGCCUGCCCGGUGCCGGAAGGUUAAUUGAUGGGGUCAGCGCAAGCGAAGCUCUUGAUCGAAGCCCCGGUAAACGGCGGCCGUAACUAUAACGGUCCUAAGGUAGCGAAAUUCCUUGUCGGGUAAGUUCCGACCUGCACGAAUGGCGUAAUGAUGGCCAGGCUGUCUCCACCCGAGACUCAGUGAAAUUGAACUCGCUGUGAAGAUGCAGUGUACCCGCGGCAAGACGGAAAGACCCCGUGAACCUUUACUAUAGCUUGACACUGAACAUUGAGCCUUGAUGUGUAGGAUAGGUGGGAGGCUUUGAAGUGUGGACGCCAGUCUGCAUGGAGCCGGCCUUGAAAUACCACCCUUUAAUGUUUGAUGUUUUAACGUGGACCCGUGAUCCGGGUUGCGGACAGUGUCUGGUGGGUAGUUUGACUGGGGCGGUCUCCUCCUAAAGAGUAACGGAGGAGCACGAAGGUUGGCUAAUCCUGGUCGGACAUCAGGAGGUUAGUGCAAUGGCAUAAGCCAGCUUGACUGCGAGCGUGACGGCGCGAGCAGGUGCGAAAGCAGGUCAUAGUGAUCCGGUGGUUCUGAAUGGAAGGGCCAUCGCUCAACGGAUAAAAGGUACUCCGGGGAUAACAGGCUGAUACCGCCCAAGAGUUCAUAUCGACGGCGGUGUUUGGCACCUCGAUGUCGGCUCAUCACAUCCUGGGGCUGAAGUAGGUCCCAAGGGUAUGGCUGUUCGCCAUUUAAAGUGGUACGCGAGCUGGGUUUAGAACGUCGUGAGACAGUUCGGUCCCUAUCUGCCGUGGGCGCUGGAGAACUGAGGGGGGCUGCUCCUAGUACGAGAGGACCGGAGUGGACGCAUCACUGGUGUUCGGGUUGUCAUGCCAAUGGCACUGCCCGGUAGCUAAAUGCGGAAGAGAUAAGUGCUGAAAGCAUCUAAGCACGAAACUUGCCCCGAGAUGAGUUCUCCCUGACCCUUUAAGGGUCCUGAAGGAACGUUGAAGACGACGACGUUGAUAGGCCGGGUGUGUAAGCGCAGCGAUGCGUUGAGCUAACCGGUACUAAUGAACCGUGAGG
rnacentral:rRNA from 1 species